CUUAGAGUUUGAUCCUGGCUCAGAGCGAACGCUGGCGGCAGGCUUAACACAUGCAAGUCGAGCGGGCCCUUCGGGGUCAGCGGCAGACGGGUGAGUAACGCGUGGGAACGUGCCCUUCGGUUCGGAAUAACCCUGGGAAACUAGGGCUAAUACCGGAUACGCCCCUUGGGGGAAAGGUUUACUGCCGAAGGAUCGGCCCGCGUCUGAUUAGCUAGUUGGUGAGGUAACGGCUCACAAAGGCGACGAUCAGUAGCUGGUCUGAGAGGAUGAUCAGCCACACUGGGACUGAGACACGGCCCAGACUCCUACGGGA
rnacentral:rRNA from 1 species